UUGUUUUUUUCUUCACCCACUAAGGGAUCAGGGAAGACUUUCUGGAGGAGGUGUCAUCUAAGCUGUACAAUAAUAAGUGCUGUCAUAUAUUGAGCAUUUACUGAUAUUCUCUUCACUAAGUGCUUUGCUAAGCAUAUUAGCUCACAUAAUCUUCACAACAAUGCUAAAAAGUAGACAUUGCUAUUCUCAUUUUAGAGAGGGGAAACCGAGGCUCAGAGAAGUUCAUUAACUUUCCUAAGGCCACAACUUUCACUGCGAAAAAUCAGCAGAGCUGU
rnacentral:lncRNA from 1 species